UACGGGGGGUGCGAGCGUUGUCCGGAAUCACUGGGCGUAAAGGGCGCGUAGGUGGUCUGAUAAGGGUGUGGUGAAAGCCCGGGGCUCAACCCCGGGUCGGCCGUGCCGACUGUUAGACUAGAGUACUGUAGGGGCAGGCGGAAUUCCGGGUGUAGCGGUGGAAUGCGUAGAGAUCCGGAGGAAGACCGGUGGCGAAGGCGGCGUGCUGGGCAGUUACUGACACUGAGGCGCGACAGCGUGGGGAGCAAACAGG
rnacentral:rRNA from 1 species